GAUGAACGCUGGCGGCGUGCCUAAUACAUGCAAGUCGAGCGAACAGACGAGGAGCUUGCUCCUCUGACGUUAGCGGCGGACGGGUGAGUAACACGUGGAUAACCUACCUAUAAGACUGGGAUAACUUCGGGAAACCGGAGCUAAUACCGGAUAAUAUAUUGAACCGCAUGGUUCAAUAGUUAAAGACGGUUUUGCUGUCACUUAUAGAUGGAUCCGCGCCGCAUUAGCUAGUUGGUAAGGUAACGGCUUACCAAGGCGACGAUGCGUAGCCGACCUGAGAGGGUGAUCGGCCACACUGGAACUGAGACACGGUCCAGACUCCUACGGGAGGCAGCAGUAGGGAAUCUUCCGCAAUGGGCGAAAGACUGACGGAGCAACGCCGCGUGAGUGAUGAAGGUCUUCGGAUCGUAAAACUCUGUUAUUAGGGAAGAACAAAUGUGUAAGUAACUAUGCACGUCUUGACGGUACCUAAUCAGAAAGCCACGGCUAACUACGUG
rnacentral:rRNA from 1 species